rnacentral:lncRNA from 10 species
UGUUCACCAGGUUUGAAUUUUCUUAGGAACUUGAAGAAAGAGAACCCUCAUGUUUUAUGAGACCUAAUCUAUUUAUUUGGGGUGCAUCUGAAUGAAUGAGCAUCUUAUUUAACUGGGCAAUCCUGUGUGUUCCAGCUGCAGAUGAAGAGAUUGCUUCGCUUCAAACCUCCUGACUGCCAUGGAACCGUCUGGCACAUGCACGUGUGUGGGGAGGUGAGACACCAGCUAACACUAAAGUCUUCAGCUGGUAGAAUAGAAGUGGAGAGUGGGGCAAAGUACUUCACCCUAGUGUGAUUCAGAAUCUUCUUGGGCUCAAGAGAAUGCCACUGCCUCUACCUCCAAUCCUCAACAUCUUGCCGGAGAUUUUGAUUCAUCUUUCUACAGCUUACAAUAGCCGCAUAUGCAGACUGUAUCCCAUUUUGAGAAGAACCACCUCAAUUUAUUAUUGGUUUCUGAAAGGAAGUCAUGGGAAAAAAUUAAGAAUGAAGAAAGGUGAAUUUGAAAUUUUCUCAAAGGUCAUUGGUGUGAUUAUCUCGGGAAAAAACAAUAUGAGAGCUAUGAACUCACUUAGGCCUCAGAAUGUACUCUGUAAUGGAGAUAGCUUUCUAUGGGUGUGCAAGAUUUGAUUAUGAGAGUGUUUUCUUUUCUCCUGCCUCACUCUUUUGACAUAGCCACUUGGGAAGAUAAAUC